rnacentral:lncRNA from 1 species
CUUGUAGCCAGUAACAAAGUGUUUCUCCCUGUACCUUUUCUUUAUCAUUUUUUCCACCAAAUGUUGAUUAUGGCCAAGUUAAAAAAAAAAAGUUUGGGUAACUUACUAGAAGGUUUAGAUUUCAGUCUGGAUUAAGGGGGAAAAAGCCUCAAAUGAAAGGUUCUCUUUAAUCAGAUAAUUGACCAGCCAGUAACUUUAGCCCCUCUGUGACACACCAGUUGGCAGGUACGCAGGUACGUCCCCCAGCCUCAGCCUGCAGCCCCAUCCCUGUCCCCUGAGACCGUCACUGAGACCCUGGUCCCCUCCUGUACUGCUGGUCUCUGCUGGUGUCCAGAGCCCGUCCCCACACAUUUUUGAAGUUCAGGAAAGGAGAGUCAGCUGUCAGAGCCAUGAAUGAAAUGUAACAUGCUAAAUGACUGACAUCCAUUAAGCCUCCUCGACAAACCUCGGCCGUGUUUUGAAAGGCCCCUGGAAGAAAAAGGAUUGUGUGCUCUUUGAAUCCUGGCCUGCUGAAUGGCUGCCAAGCGAGGACUGCUCCAUUCAAAGGGCUGCGUGAAUAAAUGAGAAUAACAUCCUUGGGGACCCAGCGGAUCAGCUUUCUCUGAAAAUGCUCAGCUUCACAAAGGGUCAGAGUCACAAGAGUCAUAACACUCGGGCUUGCUGCUGUCUAGAAAGAGAGCAAUCCGUUCCUCCAGAAGUGGCUCCUGGAAUUAUUGGGUCCUACUGGCCAGGAUCAAGAAUCGAAACUCCCUGUAAGCUUUGGCUUCCGUUGAAAGGUGUGAAGAGGGAAUUCUUUACUUGUGUUUGCAGUUUUGGCCUGCAGGGGGCGUUCAAGCGCAACGACGCUAACAGCUGGCGCGCGCUGCAGUGUUUUCAUGCUACCUGA